rnacentral:rRNA from 1 species
AUUGAACGCUGGCGGCAGGCCUAACACAUGCAAGUCGGGCGAGUGGCGGACGGGUGAGUAAUGUCUGGGGAUCUGCCUGAUGGAGGGGGAUAACUACUGGAAACGGUAGCUAAUACCGCAUACCAUCAGAUGAACCCAUAUGGGAUUAGCUGGUAGGUAAGGUAACGGCUUACCUAGGCGACGAUCCCUAGCUGGUCUGAGAGGAUGAUCGGCCACACUGGGACUGAGACACGGCCCAGACUCCUACGGGAGGCAGCAGUGGGGAAUAUUGCGCAAUGGACGCAAGCCUGAUGCAGCAAUGCCGCGUGAGUGAAGAAGGCUUUCGGGUUGUAAAGUACUUUCGGUAGGGAAGCGGUACCUACAGAGAAAGCACCGGCUAACUACGUGCCAGCCGCCGCGGUAAUAC